rnacentral:rRNA from 1 species
GGCGAGUAACGCGUGAGUAACCUGCCCAUAAGAGGGGGAUAAUCCAUGGAAACGUGGACUAAUACCGCAUAUUGUAGUUAAGUUGCAUGACUUGAUUAUGAAAGAUUUAUCGCUUAUGGAUGGACUCGCGUCAGAUUAGAUAGUUGGUGAGGUAACGGCUCACCAAGUCAACGAUCUGUAGCCGAACUGAGAGGUUGAUCGGCCGCAUUGGGACUGAGACACGGCCCAGACUCCUACGGGAGGCAGCAGUGGGGAAUAUUGCGCAAUGGGGGCAACCCUGACGCAGCAACGCCGCGUGCAGGAAGAAGGUCUUCGGAUUGUAAACUGUUGUCGCAAGGGAAGAAGACAGUGACGGUACCUUGUGAGAAAGUCACGGCUAACUACGUGCCAGCAGCCGCGGUAAUACGUAGGUGACAAGCGUUGUCCGGAUUUACUGGGUGUAAAGGGCGCGUAGGCGGACUGUCAAGUCAGUCGUGAAAUACCGGGGCUUAACCCCGGGGCUGCGAUUGAAACUGACAGCCUUGAGUAUCGGAGAGGAAAGCGGGAUUCCUAGUGUAGCGGUGAAAUGCGUAGAUAUUAGGAGGAACACCAGUGGCGAAGGCGGCUUUCUGGACGACAACUGACGCUGAGGCGCGAAAGUGUGGGGAGCAAACAGGAUUAGAUACCCUGGUAGUCCACACCGUAAACGAUGGAUACUAGGUGUAGGAGGUAUCGACCCCU